GACGAACGCUGGCGGCGUGCCUAAUACAUGCAAGUAGAACGCUGAAGGAGGAGCUUGCUUCUCCGGAUGAGUUGCGCACGGGUGAGUAACGCGUAGGUAACCUGCCUGGUAGCGGGGGAUAACUAUUGGAAACGAUAGCUAAUACCGCAUAACAGUAGAUAUCGCAUGAUAUCUGCUUGAAAGGUGCAAUUGCAUCACUACCAGAUGGAACUGCGUUGUAUUAGCUAGUUGGUGGGGUAACGGCUCACCAAGGCGACGAUACAUAGCCGACCUGAGAGGGUGAUCGACCACACUGGGACUGAGACACGGCCCAGACUCCUACGGGAGGCAGCAGUAGGGAAUCUUCGGCAAUGGACGGAAGUCUGACCGAGCAACGCCGCGUGAGUGGAGAAGGUUUUCGGAUCGUAAAGCUCUGUUGUAAGAGAAGAACGAGUGUGAGAGUGGAAAGUUCACACUGUGACGGUAUCUUACCAGAAAGGGACGGCUAACUACGUG
rnacentral:rRNA from 1 species